rnacentral:pre_miRNA from 10 species
CUCCGUGGGGUUUUCCUUUGUGCUUGAUCUAACCAUGUGGUAGAACGAUACGAAUGGAACAUGGUUCUGUCAAGCACCAUGGAAGGCUGCAUACUG